rnacentral:rRNA from 1 species
ACCGGAGCUAAUACCGGAUAAUAUUUUGAACCGCAUGGUUCAAAAGUGAAAGACGGUCUUGCUGUCACUUAUAGAUGGAUCCGCGCUGCAUUAGCUAGUUGGUAAUGUAACGGCUUACCAAGGCAACGAUGCAUAGCCGACCUGAGAGGGUGAUCGGCCACACUGGAACUGAGACACGGUCCAG